rnacentral:rRNA from 1 species
UACACAUGCCAAGUUCGAGCGGCAGCACGGGAGUUUGCUCCUGGGUUCCCCGGCGGACGGGUGAGUAAUGCCUAGGAAACAGCCUGGAAGCGGGGGAUAACGUCCGGAAACGGGCGCUAAUACCGCAUACGUCCUGAGGGAGAAAGUGGGGGAUCUUCGGACCUCACGCUAUCAGAUGAGCCUAGGUCGGAUUACUAGUUGGUGGGGUAAAGGCCUACCAAGGCGACGAUCCGUAACUGGUCUGAGAGGAUGAUCAGCCACACUGGAACUGAGACACGGCCCAGACUCCUACGGGAGGCAGCAGUGGGGAAUAUUGGACAAUGGGCGAAAGCCUGAUCCAGCCAUGCCGCGUGUGUGAAGAAGGUCUUCGGAUUGUAAAGCACUUUAAGUUGGGAGGAAGGGCAGUAAGUUAAUACCUUGCUGUUUUGACGUUACCAGCAGAAUAAGCACCGGCUAACUUCGUGCCAGCAGCCGCGGUAAUACGAAGGGUGCAAGCGUUAAUCGGAAUUACUGGGCGUAAAGCGCGCGUAGGUGGUUCAGAAAGUUGGAUGUGAAAUCCCCGGGCUCAACCUGGGAACUGCAUCCAAAACUCCUGAGUUAAAGUACGGUAAAGGGUGGUGGAAUUUCCCUGUGUAGCGGUGAAAUGGCGUAGAUAUAGGAAGGACCCCCCAGUGGCGAAAGGCGACCCCCCUUGGGAAUAGAUACUGAACACUUGAAGGUGGCAAAAACCGUGGGGGG